CUAGGUCUGGAAGGAUAAAUCCCAGGGGAAGUGAGCUGCAGAACAUUUUAUGCAUCACUCAUUCUAUUAUGAGCCCUCUGCUGCUCCAUCUCUAUAAGCUGACAGUGAAAGAACAGAAACCAAGCAAUAAGACUGCAUGAGCAAUAAGACUGCACGGCUACGUUUUCCAGAGCCACCAGCUGGGAGUUAAGUUGACUAAGGUUGUGAAAGGAGAGCCCAUUUGGAUCACAGCAGGCAUGGCAGGUUAUGCUUCAUAUCACCCACCAGGGAGGAUCAUCGCUCAUGAAAACUUUUAAAUUUGAUUUUGAAAAUUAUUCAGAAAAAUUUAAGCGAUGCUCUCUUCCAUUGUAAGAAAGAAUAUGCUCUGGAGAUUCUUAUAAUUCAAAGAAAAUGGAUUGGUAGAGCAUUUGAGUUCUCAUGCUGCCAAAAUCCUCUUGAGCAGGAGGCUAAUAAUGAAGGGGCCAGGGAAGGAGGCCAGUGCUACGAGGGUUAUCUCACAGCCUCAGAUGCUGGAUAAGUCGAACGAGGCAGAAUCGCGUUUGGAUGACAUUCAGAAAGGCCGGAGUGAUUAUUUGGAAGAGAAAAGCCUGCCUAUUCUUUCCCAAGGUGUGUGAAUAUCCCCCUGGCCUGCCGGUCCAGCAAUGAAUUACUAGACAAAGGAUCGCCCGGAACCCCACCACACCUAAAGCCACGCUUUGGAGGAUCUGCCAAGCUCACUUUUAAUCAUGAGAAAGAAAUUACCCACAUGGAGUCAGCAGAAAAUGAGAAAGUAGAGCUCGUGCUCCGAGUAAUUCCAGCAAGUGCCAAGGGGCUAGUUGAGGAAUGGCUUCAUGAGGUGAAUAUCUUUAGCUUGUACUUAGAGUUUUGGCUAGCGUAUAAUCAUUUUCUCUUUUAGGAACAAUGACUUGCUU